UUGCCUGCCUCAAGGAAAGAAGACCAGAGAAACACCCCGGAGGAGGCUCGGUCUGGAAUGUAACUAUGGGAGGCACAUGCUUUCUAGAAUGUUCAGAUCAUAAUGAAGCAGAUUGUGAUAGGCCAGGAAGCUGUGAUCUGGACACAGCUCUCCACAGACACAAUGAAGAGCCUUGGCAGAUCGUGAAACGUGUCAGGCUUCCCUGCCUUCCUUUAGCUUGGGGUUCCAUCUAGUUCAGACAGUCCACGGGGCACCAGGGUUAAAAUGUGUUUCUUCCAGAGCUACAAGAAAGAGCCAAGUAGGGGAUUUCUGUGCUCACCUCGGGAACGGAUCUCCUUCUCCUCUGUUAACCUUUCUAUCCUGUGAGGGAGUCAGUCCCUGGAUUAUAAAUUCUGGAUUAUAAAUUCUGAGGCGCUUGGUUCCUGUUUCUUGAGGGGAGGCAGAGACACCAAAACCUUUGAAAUAAGACAUACUGAAUGAGAACAGAACAAAGUUGGGUCUGUCCCUUUAUUCUGUUUCUGGCAGUCGUGGUGGAGAGAUGCUUUCUGGGAAGAACUCAGUAGUUGCCUCUGCUGAAGUCAAUUUCUAAAGGUUAGGGAUGUGAGCCUUUUUAACUCACCCUGUAUUAACUCAUUCCGGCCAUAUCAUUCAUGUGAGCUCCUUGAAGCCCUUAUGGAACCUAUUUAUUCUCUCAGACAUUAUUGGAUUCCAAAGGGUAGAGGCAACCCUGAAGACGUGUGGCUGCGUUCUGCCCUCAUCCAUCAGCCGUGGACUCCAAUGGGGAUGUCAUGUUCUCCAUAGAGGCAUCUCUGCUGGGCCUCUUUCCUUGGCUCUGCGCAAGAAUCUAUGACCCUGGAAAAGUCAUGCAAUCUCUCAGUGUAGGCUUCCUAGACUAACAGACAGAAGCAGAGGCUCACGGGGCAAUAGGUUCUGAAGGCUGGGACUGUACCCCAGUCACUGUUGCUCCUCCAGGGCCCGAGAUGGUCCUUUGCAUGUCAUCGUGAGUCAGGAAAUGGCUGUCAAAUGGGAGAGAGAAAAAAGAGGCAACAGAGCACCAAGCCCAAUGACCUAAGUUUGACACCCAGAAAACUGUGGAAUCAGAGUCUCAAGUCUUGUUAUUUGUCCUCUGAUCUCUAUGUGUGCCAUGGUACAUGAAAACACACUAAAUAUAUGUUU